UCUUUCCGACCUAUUCCUAGUCAUUUUGGCUGGGACUGGAAGGGAAGCUAAGAGGGAAUCCGGGACGCCCGACGGCCAGACACAGGCCAGAAGGCCAAGCCGGAGCUGCCCCCGCAACUGUCAGCGGCGAGCGGCUGUCAUCAGCGUCACUGGUGCGAAUGCGCCGGGAAGACCGACAGCCGCUGCGACCCGCGAGCCAGGAGACCUGCCGUGAUCGAUGAACGUCC
rnacentral:ncRNA from 2 species